CAUCAGGUCUCUGUGCCAUAUGGUAGUCAAAAUGAUAGACAGUGUUAGGAAAAUGUGGAGAAGAAAUUCAUAGGAUUCUACAAGAGAAAGAACAUUGAAGUAGAUUUAAUAUGGAGACCAUCCACACAAUGCUUUCUGCAGAUGGAGUAUCUUGUGGAGGGUGUGGCCAUGGAAUUUUCUUCUUUGAGUGAAUGUGAUGGAGGAUACUAUACAACAGAAGGGAUCAAGCACAGAGUUUAACCAUCACAGAUGCUGCUUCACUUAUAUCACCUUCAAGAUUAUAUAUCCUCAUGAAAUGGCUAUAGUGUUCUUAAUCUCUACCCAACAGUUACGUUUCCUUGUGGCCCCUUAAACCAAUCCCUUUCUGAGUCAUUCUGACUGCUGCUUGUCCCCCUUUGAUAGUUGAAAGAAGCUAGAGUAGUUGGUGUCCCUAGACCUCUAACAGCAGUCAGGAAGACCUUUGAGAGGGAACAAUGAGGGACUAGAAGUUAGACAGAUUCCCUGAUAGGAAGAUAGAUAGGGAAAGGGACUAUUACUAGGUAAUAAACAUAGUGAACUUCCAAGAUGGUUAGCUGUUGGGAGAUUCUUUAAAUAUGUGUCUGAUUGGUUUGAAUAAAGCACUGUUGGCCAAUAGGAAAGCAAGAUAGGUGGGACUAGGAGUCGAGGAGGAUUCUGGGAA